UGUGAUGAAGGUCUUAGGAUCGUAAAACACUUUCCCCAGGGAUGAUAAUGACAGUACCUGGUAAAGAAACCCCGGCUAACUCCGUGCCAGCAGCCGCGGUAAUACGGAGGGGGUUAGCGUUGUUCGGAAUUACUGGGCGUAAAGCGUACUUAGGCGGAUCAGAAAGUUAGGGGUGAAAUCCCCGAGGCUCAACCUCGGAACUGCCUCUAAAACUCCUGGUCUUGAGUUCGAGAGAGGUGAGUGGAAUUCCAAGUGUAGAGGUGAAAUUCGUAGAUAUUUGGAGGAACACCAGUGGCGAAGGCGGCUCACUGACUCGAUACUGACGCUGAGGUACGAAAGUGUGGGGAGCAAACAGGAUUAGAUACCCUGGUAGUCCACACCGUAAACGAUGA
rnacentral:rRNA from 1 species